GUAUGUAUCUGUUUGUCAAGGUGUGUGUAUCUGUGUUUGUAUGUGCCAGUGUGUGUGAAUCUGAAACGCAGAUACACACAUGCUGGCAGAUAAUGGCACACAGAUACACACACCUUGACACACAAUGUAUA